UGGCUCAGGAUGAACGCUGGCGGCGUGCCUAAUACAUGCAAGUCGAGCGAACGGACGAGAAGCUUGCUUCUCUGAUGUUAGCGGCGGACGGGUGAGUAACACGUGGAUAACCUACCUAUAAGACUGGGAUAACUUCGGGAAACCGGAGCUAAUACCGGAUAAUAUUUUGAACCGCAUGGUUCAAAAGUGAAAGACGGUCUUGCUGUCACUUAUAGAUGGAUCCGCGCUGCAUUAGCUAGUUGGUAAGGUAACGGCUUACCAAGGCAACGAUGCAUAGCCGACCUGAGAGGGUGAUCGGCCACACUGGAACUGAGACACGGUCCAGACUCCUACGGGAGGCAGCAGUAGGGAAUCUUCCGCAAUGGGCGAAAGCCUGACGGAGCAACGCCGCGUGAGUGAUGAAGGUCUUCGGAUCGUAAAACUCUGUUAUUAGGGAAGAACAUAUGUGUAAGUAACUGUGCACAUCUUGACGGUACCUAAUCAGAAAGCCACGGCUAACUACGUGCCAGCAGCCGCGGUAAUACGUAGGUGGCAAGCGUUAUCCGGAAUUAUUGGGCGUAAAGCGCGCGUAGGCGGUUUUUUAAGUCUGAUGUGAAAGCCCACGGCUCAACCGUGGAGGGUCAUUGGAAACUGGAAAACUUGAGUGCAGAAGAGGAAAGUGGAAUUCCAUGUGUAGCGGUGAAAUGCGCAGAGAUAUGGAGGAACACCAGUGGCGAAGGCGACUUUCUGGUCUGUAACUGACGCUGAUGUGCGAAAGCGUGGGGAUCAAACAGGAUUAGAUACCCUGGUAGUCCACGCCGUAAACGAUGAGUGCUAAGUGUUAGGGGGUUUCCGCCCCUUAGUGCUGCAGCUAACGCAUUAAGCACUCCGCCUGGGGAGUACGACCGCAAGGUUGAAACUCAAAGGAAUUGACGGGGACCCGCACAAGCGGUGGAGCAUGUGGUUUAAUUCGAAGCAACGCGAAGAACCUUACCAAAUCUUGACAUCCUUUGACAACUCUAGAGAUAGAGCCUUCCCCUUCGGGGGACAAAGUGA
rnacentral:rRNA from 1 species